rnacentral:rRNA from 1 species
UACGGAGGGUGCAAGCGUUGCUCGGAAUUAUUGGGCGUAAAGGGUAGGUAGGUGGUCUCAUUUGUCUGGGGUGAAAGCCUUGAGCUUAACUCAAGAAGUGCCCCAGAAACGGUGAGACUGGAGUCCUGGAGAGGGUCGUGGAAUUCCCGGUGUAGCGGUGAAAUGCGUAGAGAUCGGAAAGAACACCAACGGCGAAAGCACUCUGCUGGGCCGACACUGACACUGAGAGACGAAAGCUAGGGGAGCGAAUGGG